rnacentral:rRNA from 1 species
GACGAACGCUGGCGGCGUGCUUAACACAUGCAAGUCGAACGGAAAGGCCCUGCUUUUGUGGGGUGCUCGAGUGGCGAACGGGUGAGUAACACGUGAGUAGCCUGCCCUUGACUUUGGGAUAACUUCAGGAAACUGGGGCUAAUACCGGAUAGGAGCUCCUGCUGCAUGGUGGGGGUUGGAAAGCUUCGGCGGUUGGGGAUGGACUCGCGGCUUAUCAGCUUGUUGGUGGGGUAGUGGCUUACCAAGGCUUUGACGGGUAGCCGGCCUGAGAGGGUGACCGGCCACAUUGGGACUGAGAUACGGCCCAGACUCCUACGGGAGGCAGCAGUGGGGAAUAUUGCAUAAUGGGCGGAAGCCUGAUGCAGCAACGCCGCGUGCGGGAUGACGGCCUUCGGGUUGUAAACCGCUUUCGCCUGUGACGAAGCGUGAGUGACGGUAAUGGGGAAAGAAGCACCGGCUAACUACGU